ensembl:lncRNA
GAAAAAGCGAUCUCUUCUAAGCAUGCAUUUCUCCAUUUUACUGUGAAUAAGGGAAACGAAGAAUUGCAAGGCGAUAGAGUGAUACAGAUCUGUCCUCUUUCCCUUCCUAGAUGUCCAAACAACCAAUGUUGCUGUACAAUGAGGAUGAAACACUGAUUGCUUCUGUUGAGUAAUGAAUUGGCAGUGGCUUCAAGCAACAUUCUAAGGCCUUUAUGUCUUCAGGAAAUUUCUCAGGAGGUUUUACAGCUUCACUCUUCAGGGAAUUUCAUGAUGAAAACAGGAAUUUUAUAGAAUUGAGGAUAACAACAAAAGAGAACAAUGACCCUAGGCUCCAAGAUGGAAGAAGUCAAUGGAAGAAGAAGG